UCAAGAGGGUGAAAAAUUUAUGAAUGAAUUGUAAAUGUUCGGGCAAAGACGCGAGAGACAUUUCAAUCAUUGAUGUUCAAAAGCAAGCCAUCAUUUUGUUAGAGAUUUCUCAGCAGAAAUUUACAUCCAAAAUCGUGCAAAGAAAGAUUGAUUCCUUCUGUGUUCUAACUCAAUCACUAAACUUGUAAGAUACAGGGCCAGGACUCAAGUGAAAUCCUGAUCCAAAAUGUCCUGAAGAUAAAGAAAAUUUGACCAAGGAAAACGUUUUCCCGGAUGCUUUUACGAAGCGUGAGUUAAGAAGGAUUUAAUUACAUUGUCCCUCUGAAGAGUGUAAAUGGUUUGGUACACACGAAGAAUUGGAAGCUCAUUCUGAAGUUUGUGAGCAUGCGCUCAUCAGCUGUAUCCACAAGCAAUGUAACAUUCAGUUACCUCGCUCUCUUCUUGGUGAACAUUUGAAGAAUGAAUGUGAAUAUCGAAAUGUGAAAUGU